GGCUCCAUAGCUCAGAGGUUAGAGUGCUGGUCUUGUAAACCAGUAGUCAUGAGUUUGAGUCUCAUUGGGGCCU